UACGGGGGGUGCGAGCGUUGUCCGGAAUCACUGGGCGUAAAGGGCGCGUAGGUGGCCUGAUAAGGGUGUGGUGAAAGUCCGGGGCUCAACCCCGGAUCGGCCGUGCCGACUGUUAGGCUAGAGUACUGUAGGGGCAGGCGGAAUUCCGGGUGUAGCGGUGGAAUGCGUAGAGAUCCGGAGGAAGACCGGUGGCGAAGGCGGGUCUCUGGGCAGUAACUGACGCUGAGGAGCGAAAGCGUGGGGAGCGAACAGG
rnacentral:rRNA from 1 species